rnacentral:rRNA from 1 species
UAGCGGAGGAAAAGAAACUAACAAGGAUUCCCCUAGUAACGGCGAGUGAAGCGGGAAGAGCUCAAAUUUGUAAUCUGGUACUUUCAGUAUCCGAGUUGUAAUCUCGAGAAGUGUUUUCCGCGUUGGACUGCAUACAAGUCUGUUGGAAUACAGCGUCAUAGUGGUGAGAGCCCCGUAACUGAUGCAGAUGCCCAAUGCUUUGUGAUACACUUUCGAAGAGUCGAGUUGUUUGGGAAUGCAGCUCAAAUUGGGUGGUAAAUUCCAUCUAAAGCUAAAUAUUGGCGAGAGACCGAUAGCGAACAAGUACCGUGAGGGAAAGAUGAAAAGCACUUUGGAAAGAGAGUUAACAGUACGUGAAAUUGUUGGAAGGGAAACGAUUGAGGUCAGACUUGCUAUUUGGAAUUCAGCCGCAAGGUGUAUUUUUCAAUUUGCAGGCCAGCAUCAAUUUUCGGGGUUGGAAAAGGGUGGGAGGAAGGUAGCAGUUUAGGCUGUGUUAUAGCUUCUCACUGGAUUCAACUUUGGGGAUUGAGGAACGCAGUACGCUUUUAGCGAGACCUUCGGGUCUUUCGUACUUAGGAUGCUGGUGGAAUGGCCUUAAACGACCCGUCUUGAAACACGG